rnacentral:lncRNA from 1 species
CAGACUUUCAUAAAUGCUCAAGCCAUGCCCAGUGAAAAAGACCACUUCUUGUUACCUGCCUGUCAGGAUGUAGGACUCUCAGCUCCAGCACCAUGUCUGCCUGCAAGCUGCCAUGCUCCCUGCCAUGAUGAUAAUGGACUAAACCUCUGAAACUGUUCGUGCUUGAGUUCUUGCCCUGAUUUCCUUCAAUGAUGGAUUGUUACCUGAAAGUAUAAGUAUAGAUCUCGUCCCUCAUCAAAGAAUCUUCUCCUUGCUGCAGAUGGAGACCAUUACAGAAAACCACAACUGAUCAAAAUGCAGGGAACAACCGACUGUGGGAUGCUCAACUCCAAAUGAUGCAUCUAUAGCACAACUCCUGUACUGAAGCACAGAGAACAUCUUGGGAGCAGGGAGGAAAGAUUAUAAGAACCAGAGGACCAGGGAGACUGCUGUGAGUUUGUGUCUCCUAGAAAUGGC